rnacentral:rRNA from 1 species
GGCCACUGCUAUCAAGUUCCGACUAAGACAUGCGAGUCAAGGUAUCGUAAGAUGCCGGCAAACUGCUCAGUAACACGUGGAUAAUCUAACCUUGAGUAAGGGAUAACUUCGGGAAACUGAAGGUAAUACCUUAUAAUUGCUUAAAACUGGAAUGUUUUUGCAAUAAAAGUUACGACGCUCAAGGAUGAGUCUGCGACCUAUCAGGUAGUAGGUGGUGUAAUGGACCACCUAGCCUCAGACGGGUACGGGCCCUGGGAGGGGUAGCCCGGAGAUGGACUCUGAGACAUAAGUCCAGGCCCUACGGGGCGCAGCAGGCGCGAACACUGUGCAAUGCGCGAAAGCGCGACACGGGGAGCUUGAGUGUCUUGGCAUAGCCAAGACUUUUCUCAUUCCUAAAAAGCAUGAGGAAUAAGUGCUGGGUAAGACGGGUGCCAGCCGCCGCGGUAACACCCGCAGCACGAGUAGUGGUCACUUUUAUUGAGCCUAAAGCGUUCGUAGCCGGUUUUGUAAAUCUUCAGAUAAAGCCUGAAGCUUAACUCCAGAAAGUCUGAAGAGACUGCAAGACUUGAGAUCGGGUGAGGUUAAACGUACUUUCAGGGUAGGGGUAAAAUCCUGUAAUCCCGGAAGGACGACCAGUGGCGAAAGCGUUUAACUAGAACGAAUCUGACGGUAAGGAACGAAGGCUAGGGUAGCAAACCGGAUUAGAUACCCGGGUAGUCCUAGCUGUAAACAUUGCCCAUUUGAUGUUGCUUUUCCGUUGAGGGAAGGCAGUGUCGGAGCGAAGGUGUUAAAUGGGCCGCUUGGGAAGUAUGGUCGCAAGACUGAAACUUAAAGGAAUUGGCGGGGGAGCACCGCAACGGGAGGAAUGUGCGGUUUAAUUGGAUUCAACGCCGGAAAACUCACCGGGAACGACCUGUGCAUGAGAGUCAACCUGACGAGCUUACUCGAUAGCAGGAGAGGUGGUGCAUGGCCGUCGUCAGCUCGUACCGUAGGGCGUUCACUUAAGUGUGAUAACGAGCGAGACCCACAUCUUUAAUUGCAAAUGUAUAUGAGAAUAUGCAUGCACUUUAGAGAAACCGCCAGCGCUAAGCGGAAGGAAGGAGUGGUCGACGGCAGGUCAGUACGCCCCGAAUUUCCCGGGCUACACGCGCAUUACAAAGAACGGGACAAUACGUUGCAACCUCGAAAGAGGAAGCUAAUCGCGAAACCCGUCCAUAGUUAGGAUUGAGGGCUGUAACUCGCCCUCAUGAAUCUGGAUUCCGUAGUAAUCGCGGGUCAACAACCCGCGGUGAACAUGCCCCUGCUCCUUGCACACACCGCCCGUCAAACCAUCCGAGUUGGUGUUGGAUGAGG